AGGUUGGUCAGAGCGACAAAGCUCAGGAGGGAUAGCGUCUGCUUUUCCGUCAGGCUCGUGUGGGGCACGGGUACUUGUUCCUGGCUGUGGAGUUUACGCUAUCCAUUGUGAGCUCUGUCGCUCUCCCUUCCU